CCUCUCUCAUAUCUCUCGCCCUGUUUCUCUCAAUCCUUGCUCAAACUAAUCCAAUCAUCCAGUUGUCUGGGUGAAUACCUCUCUCUCUCUCCCAAACAUCAGAUCUAAGGUGAAUCGACAAGAAAAUCCGAUUUUGCUUUUGGCUCUUUAGUAAGGUAGCACAAGAAGGGCGAGUCCAUCACCAUGGUCCCCUACUUGGAUUCGGCAGGAGUAGACAUAGCCUUGCCGCGAUGGUCAUGCACGGUAACCCCUUAUUCUCCGACAUUCAGUUCCUCAAUUUCUAGGGUUUCUAUAAUUUUCCAAUAUUUCCCUUAUCGACUCUGCAUUUGUUGUGUUCAUGGCGUUGAGAUCGGGCGGCUGGAAGUUCUCGUUAGCGAUUUUGAGCAGAAAAGCUCCCCCAAAGAAAAAGAAGCCGGACUCUUCCACUGAUCCAACUCAGAUCCAAUCCAAUAGAGCCGGAGAGGACGAAACCCGUUGCUGUAUUCAUGGCUUUCGGUACCAAAGGCGAUGUCUAUCCAAUUGCUGCCAUUGCGGCGGCCUUUGCUUCCGACCAGAGACAGUACCAAGUUGUUCUUAUCACACAUUCAGCUCACGAGGACCAAAACACUUAAAUGAAAGUGUUUCAAUCCAGAAUCGGAGGGUUCAGCAUUGACUACUUAUACCAUCCUAAAUUGACAUGUUGCAAGUCAAGUUAUUAGCAGUCUAAUUAUCCUCACAAAAUUAUUACUAGUAUUAAUAAGCUUACGUUGUCACUUGGCUGAGAAGAAUGUUUCCUAUCUUCCAAUUUCAUCACCACCUGUUCUCUCUAUCCAUCAGAAACAUGAUACUACAGGCUCUGUAGAGUUGCCUCUUUCGCUGCAGAAAAAGUUGUUUUCUGGAGAACAUAGAAAAGAAUGUCUUUCGGUAGUUGAAACGAUAUUUGGAUCAGGCCCAAGCAUGGAUGGUGAUUUCAUUGUGAUAAAUUUCUUUGCUCUGAUAUCAGCUUAAUAUAUUACAUGAUCCGUGGUCAAGGAACAAUCAAAUUGUAUGUGGUGUACAAUGUGUUGGAGAUUGGAGUAACCAUUUUGUGUCGAAGAGAAAUUAUCAUGUCCCAAGGAUGAUCGCUGGACUAAGCCUCUAAAUGAUAGUAUCUUAGAAGACACAACACAUCUGUUAUAUGGUAUGAUACAUUGUGAUGGGAUUGGGCAUUUGCUAUGCAUCAAUAGACUUAGAGGGGGUUUUAAGCAUCUUCGCGGCAGAGAGAUCAUGGAUCUUUGGGAUCAAAUUUGCACAAAUCUUCGAACCAGUUACCAUCAAAGAGCUUGAUUACUACACAUAUCCAAUGAUCAACAAUAAACUCAUUGUGCUAUAAAGAUUGUCAGCAAUACAGACCAUAAAAACACAGGCAAAGUAUAUGGGCAAAGUUUCUUGAUGCGAGUUAGAAUCCGGCACCAUGGGCUGAAGAACCUGCAAUAUCAGGAGGUGGGAAUAUUGUGUGGAAUGUGAAGAUUAUCUUGAUGAGUGGGAUAAGCAAGAAUGGUUUAGAGGAGCUGUCAUCUGAAAGAAGCUCUGAUGAUCGCAUACCUCAUAUCUGCAAUAUCAUUAGAUAUGGAAAGGAUGUUGCGAAACAUGAUCUGCAGAACUGCAAGAACUGGAAUCGUUUUCUUAAGGAUGAGCUUGUUGGCAGCUUUACCUU